GCACCUUUCAAGCGAGUGGCGAACGGGUGAGUAACACGUGGAUAACCUGCCUCAAGGCUGGGGAUAACAUUUGGAAACAGAUGCUAAUACCGAAUAAAACUUAGUAUCGCAUGAUACAAAGUUGAAAGGCGCUACGGCGUCACCUAGAGAUGGGUCCGCGGUGCAUUAGUUAGUUGGUGGGGUAAAGGCCUACCAAGACAAUGAUGCAUAGCCGAGUUGAGAGACUGAUCGGCCACAUUGGGACUGAGACACGGCCCAAACUCCUACGGGAGGCUGCAGUAGGGAAUCUUCCACAAUGGGCGAAAGCCUGAUGGAGCAACGCCGCGUGUGUGAUGAAGGCUUUAGGGUCGUAAAGCACUGUUGUAUGGGAAGAAAUGCUAGAAUAGGGAAUGAUUCUAGUUCGACGGUACCAUACCAGAAAGGGACGGCUAAAUACGUGCCAGCAGCCGCGGUAAUACGUAUGUCCCGAGCGUUAUCCGGAUUUAUUGGGCGUAAAGCGAGCGCAGACGGUUGAUUAAGUCUGAUGUGAAAGCCCGGAGCUCAACUCCGGAAUGGCAUUGGAAACUGGUUAACUUGAGUGUUGUAGAGGUAAGUGGAACUCCAUGUGUAGCGGUGGAAUGCGUAGAUAUAUGGAAGAACACCAGUGGCGAAGGCGGCUUACUGGACAACAACUGACGUUGAGGCUCGAAAGUGUGGGUAGCAAACAGGAUUAGAUACCCUGGUAGUCCACACCGUAAACGAUGAAUACUAGGUGUUAAGGAGGUUUCCGCCUCUUAGUGCCGAAGCUAACGCAUUAAGUAUUCCGCCUGGGGAGUACGACCGCAAGGUUGAAACUCAAAGGAAUUGACGGGGACCCGCACAAGCGGUGGAGCAUGUGGUUUAAUUCGAAGCAACGCGAAGAACCUUACCAGGUCUUGACAUCCUUUGAAGC
rnacentral:rRNA from 1 species